UUAACCGAAUAGGGGAGCCGGAGGGAAACCGAGUCUUAACCGGGCGUUAAGUUGCAGGGUAUAGACCCGAAACCCGGUGAUCUAGCCAUGGGCAGGUUGAAGGUUGGGUAACACUAACUGGAGGACCGAACCGACUAAUGUUGAAAAAUUAGCGGAUGACCUGUGGCUGGGGGUGAAAGGCCAAUCAAACCGGGAGAUAGCUGGUUCUCCCCGAAAGCUAUUUAGGUAGCGCCUCGUGAAUUCAUCUCCGGGGGUAGAGCACUGUUUCGGCUAGGGGGCCAUCCCGGCUUACCAACCCGAUGCAAACUGCGAAUACCGGAGAAUGUUAUCACGGGAGACACACGGCGGGUGCUAACGUCCGUCGUGAAGAGGGAAACAACCCAGACCGCCAGCUAAGGUCCCAAAGUCAUGGUUAAGUGGGAAACGAUGUGGGAAGGCCCAGACAGCCAGGAUGUUGGCUUAGAAGCAGCCAUCAUUUAAAGAAAGCGUAAUAGCUCACUGGUCGAGUCGGCCUGCGCGGAAGAUGUAACGGGGCUAAACCAUGCACCGAAGCUGCGGCAGCGACGCUGAUGCGUUGUUGGGUAGGGGAGCGUUCUGUAAGCCUGCGAAGGUGUGUCGUGAGGCAUGCUGGAGGUAUCAGAAGUGCGAAUGCUGACAUAAGUAACGAUAAAGCGGGUGAAAAGCCCGCUCGCCGGAAGACCAAGGGUUCCUGUCCAACGUUAAUCGGGGCAGGGUGAGUCGACCCCUAAGGCGAGGCCGAAAGGCGUAGUCGAUGGGAAACGGGUUAAUAUUCCCGUACUUGGUGUUACUGCGAAGGGGGGACGGAGAAGGCUAUGUUGGCCGGGCGACGGUUGUCCCGGUUUAAGCGUGUAGGUGUGUGUUCCAGGUAAAUCCGGUUCACUUUAACACUGAGGCGUGAUGACGAGGCACUACGGUGCUGAAGCAACAAAUGCCCUGCUUCCAGGAAAAGCCUCUAAGCAUCAGGUAACAUCAAAUCGUACCCCAAACCGACACAGGUGGUCAGGUAGAGAAUACCAAGGCGCUUGAGAGAACUCGGGUGAAGGAACUAGGCAAAAUGGUGCCGUAACUUCGGGAGAAGGCACGCUGACACGUAGGUGAAGUGAUUUACUCAUGGAGCUGAAGUCAGUCGAAGAUACCAGCUGGCUGCAACUGUUUAUUAAAAACACAGCACUGUGCAAACACGAAAGUGGACGUAUACGGUGUGACGCCUGCCCGGUGCCGGAAGGUUAAUUGAUGGGGUCAGCGCAAGCGAAGCUCCUGAUCGAAGCCCCGGUAAACGGCGGCCGUAACUAUAACGGUCCUAAGGUAGCGAAAUUCCUUGUCGGGUAAGUUCCGACCUGCACGAAUGGCGUAAUGAUGGCCAGGCUGUCUCCACCCGAGACUCAGUGAAAUUGAACUCGCUGUGAAGAUGCAGUGUACCCGCGGCAAGACGGAAAGACCCCGUGAACCUUUACUAUAGCUUGACACUGAACAUUGAGCCUUGAUGUGUAGGAUAGGUGGGAGGCUUUGAAGUGUGGACGCCAGUCUGCAUGGAGCCGGCCUUGAAAUACCACCCUUUAAUGUUUGAUGUUCUAACGUGGACCCGUGAUCCGGGUUGCGGACAGUGUCUGGUGGGUAGUUUGACUGGGGCGGUCUCCUCCUAAAGAGUAACGGAGGAGCACGAAGGUUGGCUAAUCCUGGUCGGACAUCAGGAGGUUAGUGCAAUGGCAUAAGCCAGCUUGACUGCGAGCGUGACGGCGCGAGCAGGUGCGAAAGCAGGUCAUAGUGAUCCGGUGGUUCUGAAUGGAAGGGCCAUCGCUCAACGGAUAAAAGGUACUCCGGGGAUAACAGGCUGAUACCGCCCAAGAGUUCAUAUCGACGGCGGUGUUUGGCACCUCGAUGUCGGCUCAUCACAUCCUGGGGCUGAAGUAGGUCCCAAGGGUAUGGCUGUUCGCCAUUUAAAGUGGUACGCGAGCUGGGUUUAGAACGUCGUGAGACAGUUCGGUCCCUAUCUGCCGUGGGCGCUGGAGAACUGAGGGGGGCUGCUCCUAGUACGAGAGGACCGGAGUGGACGCAUCACUGGUGUUCGGGUUGUCAUGCCAAUGGCACUGCCCGGUAGCUAAAUGCGGAAGAGAUAAGUGCUGAAAGCAUCUAAGCACGAAACUUGCCCCGAGAUGAGUUCUCCCUGAGACUUAGAGUCUCCUGAAGGAACGUUGAAGACGACGACGUUGAUAGGCCGGGUGUGUAAGCGCAGCGAUGCGUUGAGCUAACCGGUACUAAUGAACCGUGAGGCUUAACCUUACAACGCCGAAG
rnacentral:rRNA from 1 species